CCACCGGGCACAGAGGGCUCCCCGUGCUGCCCCUCACAGCGGGGCAGGCUGCACUGCUCACACCGUGCUUUGGUCCCUCUUGAAUCACACAGAUUGACCACAAGACGUAUUUGAGACGUCUCAAGGCAAGAUGCAAAGCUCAGAAUUGCCUUCUUAGCCAACCCCGUGCACAGGCAGAGCCUUCAGCCCCUGGAAGCACUCCCAGCUCCCUGCCCCCACACACAGCCAUUGUGCCUGGCAGCAGCUUUCCCUCCGGAGGUUUCCAUCAGCUCCAGGAUCUCACAUCCCUCACGUUCCUCCUUUGAUUUCUAAACCUCCUUUCACUCCAAAGCCUCCCAGAGAGGAGCCUCCUAUAGGGAUAACAUCGCUCCCUGCUAACAGCAAUUAACGCUUGCUAAGAACGUUCCAUCAGGCAGCACAACAUCCCGCUAUGUUGCUCAGUGCUUGGAGCUCCGCUCUGAUCGCCUGCACUCUCAUUUGCUUUCCCUGCAGCCGGGAUUGGGGUGUGCUUCAGCCCAGCAUCGCUGAUGGAGCUCAGCACAACGUGAACCAGCUGAAUUCCUGGGGACCCUACACAACACAGCAAACACAGAAGCUGCUAAGAUAUUUCUCCUAGGAAUUGUAUUGAUUCAGCAGGUCUAUUCCCAGCGUGAGCCCUUAUCUGAGAGAAUUCCCUGCAGUUUGGAACCAGGCUGCCAAGACUUAGAGAUGCUCUGAGCCCUGAGCAAAGCACACAACUCGCUAGUCAACAUCCUGAGCACAGGGUACAUGGACCUUGGCUGCUCUGAGAUGUCAGUAUGUCAAAGACAGCAUGGCUUAAAAGAAUCAUGAAGGCUGGAAAACCACCUAAGACCACCCAACCCAGCCAUCCCUUGUGCCUGUGACGUGCCUUCCUUUGGAGGAACACGUUGCCUUUGAGUGGCACCAAACACUGUGGGAGUCCAAACCACAAGUGAACUGUGGAGCAGCCAGCUGCCCUGGUUUGGAUCACACACCCUCUGGUAGGGAAACGAGGCAGUGGUGUUCCUCACUUACCCGUCCAACAGGGAGUUGAAGCCAAUGACCGCGUUGUCUCGCUCUGCCGCUACCACCAGGCACAGACCGUCCUUCAAGAGGGAGCACUGAGAGAGGGAAGAGCACAGCCUUGGUUUGUUACCCGCUUAGGUAAGGCUGUAAGCCUCAAUGAUGAGCUGCUGACAGCUGAGAUAACUGCUGUGUGUGGGGAGGAAGGAGAGCAGCAGACACACUGAAAGAGUAUCACGUCUGAACUGUUGGCUCACCCAUUCCUACGGCACACCACUAUUCCUGCUCCCUCCCCUCAGAGUGAAAAUAAGCCGGGUUGUGGUUGUGUUAUUCACCCACUGAUUGUGCUGGAAACAGGAACAUGGAUGGAACUGCAACAACACACCCAUUGGCUUCAUCCUUCCUAGAGAGUUGUGCACAUUCUGCAUUGCAUCCUCAGGGGAUCUGCAGGGCAGUGCUCAGACUAAUUGGACGCUGGCUGUAAUUGCUUUCAUGUGCAGAUGUACCUCAAAGGGAUGCUGUCAGCUUCAAAAGUCCCAACCUGAAAAGAUCUUACCUGCUUUAUUAUUGGUUGCACCCGAGACACUCAGAAAUACUGAUGGGCUGCAAACAGAAAUGCUUUUAUUUUUUCCUUAGGAAUCUCUGCAUGGUUCUGACAGCCCUUUGUUGAUUGCUGCUGCCACUAUAAGUAGCUCCCCCCCACUGAUGACUCUCUCCUCCUCCUGACAGUGUUUGCUUGCACGCUCCCCCUUAUCGCCUUGCUCUAGCAAGGCUCCUGCAAUGGUGGAUUUAUCCUAUACUAAGUACAAAGGGAAAAACAGCUUUGGUGUGAUGCUGCAUUGCUGUAAAGCAAAGUGUUGGCCGACCCCAGAAGCAGAGUUUGUGCUCACACCCCGUUGCUUAAAGCCCAUGUUGGAUGCAGUGCGAGUUGCCACCACCAGCCGAAUGAGAGAUGAAAUUCAAUGUCUGCCCAGAACUCCAGGGCACCGUCCAAGAAGUGGAAGGGUUAUUUAGCAUUAUAGAGGAGGAUUAAUGGAGUGUGAUUACAGAAAAGGAAAUAGAAAAUGCAUUUAUCUGGGAGAACAAGCCAAGAUACAACAGCAGAACAUACAUAACAGCAGCAACUGGGCACCGUGAUGCGAAUGGAAGAGCAUGUCUAAAGAGGACACAGCAUUCACAGUGAGGUUAUAUUUGCACAUCAUGAUGUCAAGUUUGGGUGUCUGUGAGUUAAUGGAGAUACAGGAGCACAAAGCUGGUGAGGCACAUGGCCCACAUUACUUACUAGUGCAUAAGAGAUCAGACUGCAGCACGGUGCUAACGCUGCUACCAAAGCUGGUCUGCUCAGAGCCAGCACAGCAUCAAACAACUCCUCUUCCACGGGGAAAGAAGCAAAGCACAAACCCGGACUUCAUACCUUUGCUUCCACACCACACUUGGCCCCGCUCAGUAUCUUGGAGAUGCAAUGAGCCUGAGGUGCAUCCAGCACAGUGAGGCGAACUCCAGUCACCGUGAAACCUUUGCCAAUGAGCUGAUCGAGCAGCUCAACAUAAGGUGGGUCGGAACCCCGGAGGAUUAUGGCCGGCAGGAUGAGACAAGUGGUUUGGCAGAGGUUGCUGAGCACUGGCCGAUCUGCUGGGAAAAGAGCAAAACACAGCAGCUGCUUUAGAUCAACCCCUUUGACUGCUCACCCUCCGAGUCAUUCCUCCUUGCUGCAGAUGUAACCAGCCCAUCAGAGACACUCCACAUCACGGUGCCAUUUGGGAUGCUCACAGAUGUGACUGCUCAUCCCAAACAUGUGUGUAUCAGGGGACCACCAUGCAGCAGCAGUGACCCCAUUCCAGGAGUCAGCCAAGGACAGCUGCUGGCUCAAUACAGGAGAUGCUCCUCCACUUACUUUCUCCCAAGCAAAGAAAUCUGCUAAUCCAGCUGCUUUCAUAAUCCGAAAUGCAAUUCUCAGCAACAUACGUAAGAUUUAACGCAGUUCAUAUUUUCCCCGCGAUCAAUCUGUCCAUCCUUUAGGCUUUGGGAUCCUUAUUUGCCACAAGGAGACGUUUCCUUGCGUGCAAGAGCUACCUCUAGCGUCCAAGAAGGGGCCACCAAGUGAAUGAUGCUCCUGGCUCGCUGGCAUCGCUCACUGUAUUGAGCCUGACAGCCCAAAAUCACGUGUGCUCGCUUUUCCAGGACAGCAGCUCUUUGAAAUGCAUUCUCUGAGACACAAACACAUCAGGGCUGCACGCUGCUUUCCUUUCCACUCGGCAGCUUCAAAGCCGAGAGAUUCUCACGGAGCAGGAAAUUGAGGGCACAUACUUGGAGGUUUGCUUUGCAGGCUGUACAGAACCUGCAGAAUCCUCACUAUUUCCAAGCCGAGCUCUCAGUGUUAUCAUUACUCUUGUUUCAGGGCUCAUACAGUGGCCAUGGAAUAGCAGCAAUGUUGAGAGAUGGACCUCAGCACAGCCAAUGGUUUAAUAAUGGACCUUCAUGCAGCCAACCUCUAUUAGUGUGCAGCAUGAGACAAGGAGCUUGCCAGCCUUAAUUGUGUGACUUCUGUCAGGGUCACAAAGCAUGUGUAGGGCACAGCCCAAAGCUGAUAGGAGACAGUGGAAUGAACCCACUGGAAACAGCCUUGGGAACUGAAUGAGAUCUCAGCCCUGUUCCCAUGAGAUGGAUGUUUGCAAUGCCCAGAGCACCCACACACAAACUGCUGCUUAUCUACACCCUGAACUAAAGGUCCCCCAUUGCCCAUCACUGUGGUGCCUUGGUCUCUCCCAAGGCUGGCUUUGAAUGGAUGUGCAAACCACGGUGGCCAAGCAGGUGUUAAAACACACUAUAAAUGUUCAGCAGCAUUCACUGGUGCUUUAUGUUAUCUUUAUGUUAUGUUCUGCUGCUGACGAGGUCAGCACUCCUUGUCAGCCCUAUGUUUAAACCCACAAAAGAAAGGCCCUGCAGGCUAAGAGUGAACUGGCUGGGCUCCAUCAGAGCUGUUCUUUGUAGCUCGGAGUCCUCUCUCCCUUCUGAAAGGGCAUCAAUCCCAGAUCCUGCUACCACCAGAUGGUUUGUCUUGCUGUCCAAUUAAUCAAUAACAGCCUCAAUCUAUAACAAGAGUCACUCAUUUCCUUACCAAGAUCAUGUGGUUGCCCAGAGCCCAGUAAAUGGAGUUGCCCUCCUGCCUCACGCCUUAUGAUUUUGUGCUGCUUGUUGAUUUCCACGCUGACUGUGGGGUCACGUUCCAGGUUAUGGAUCUGCAGGAAGGAAGGGAGGGGGAGGCAAGUCAUGUGAGCACCGUUACCUAUCAGGAAGGAAAGCAUUUAUAAGGAUUGAUUCCAUUUAUAAGGAUUGAUUCAGGCAAGCUGUGAAGGUUUGGAUGGCGUUGGGUACUCCUGUAAUUACCAGCCUAGAAAACACCUGGUUGUCUGGAGAUAAAAGAACACUUUGCAUGCAUUUGUUCUUAUUGGGGUUUAACUAAGUGUGGCAUCUUGCUGUCCUUUAAAGCUCCUGCAUCCAGACAUCUUCCUAAGGUCUCCAUUCCCAGCUCUUUAAGGCCAGGGACUUGAGGACCCCAAGGGUACAGCAUCUUUACCCAGCACCAAAGGAGCAGGUAGCAGCUCCCUCCUGCCAUGGAACAAACUGUCACAUCCACACAUCCCAGCACAGCGUGAAAAGCUGGUAACAAUCAGCCUCUGGGUCAGCUGUGUGGAAGCAAUCAUGGGUGAUGCUGGUGUUGUUCCCCGUGACCUGCUUCCAAAGCGGUCUUGGCUCAGUGUGGGAAUUUGGCUUCUAAAGCAACAGCCCUGAGCCUUCCUGGAUUUAUAGCACAGGUCACUGAACAAACACAUCUGAAAAAGCACUUUUCCUCUGAGACUGUCUGGGUCAAUACCAAGUCAGCACAUUGUGGCAGGGACAUCCAGAGGAGAAGGAAAUCUCAGCAGCUGGUGAAACACAGCAAGAAAGAAUUAUCUGAAGUGUAAGAGGAAGGAAAUGAAGGGCUAACAGGAGCAAAGCCAUUGCUCUGACACAGCAGGAGACCCUUCAGGAAAGGGCAGAAUCCCACCUCCUCCUCCUCCAGCAUCGGGCACUUGGAGCAGCACAGACCUUCUGGGAAGAACAGCUUCAUGUCCCGGAUGGACAUUUGGUAGGAGUUGGAGCC